rnacentral:rRNA from 1 species
GACGAACGCUGGCGGCGUGCCUAAUACAUGCAAGUUGAGCGCUGAAGGUUGGAACUUGUCCCAACUGGCUGAGCAGCGAACGGGUGAGUAACGCGUGGGGAAUCUGCCUUUGAGCGGGGGACAACAUUUGGAAACGAAUGCUAAUACCGCAUAAAAACUUUAAACACAAGUUUUAAGUUUGAAAGAUGCAAUUGCAUCACUCAAAGAUGAUCCCGCGUUGUAUUAGCUAGUUGGUGAGGUAAAGGCUCACCAAGGCGAUGAUACAUAGCCGACCUGAGAGGGUGAUCGGCCACAUUGGGACUGAGACACGGCCCAAACUCCUACGGGAGGCAGCAGUAGGGAAUCUUCGGCAAUGGACGAAAGUCUGACCGAGCAACGCCGCGUGAGUGAAGAAGGUUUUCGGAUCGUAAAACUCUGUUGGUAGAGAAGAACGUUGGUGAGAGUGGAAAGCUCAUCAAGUGACGGUAACUACCCAGAAAGGGACGGCUAACUACGUG